UACAGAGGUCUCAAGCGUUGUUCGGAUUCAUUGGGCGUAAAGGGUGCGUAGGCGGCGCGGUAAGUCGGGUGUGAAAUCUUGGAGCUUAACUCCGAAACUGCAUUCGAUACUGCCGUGCUUGAGGACUGGAGAGGAGACUGGAAUUUACGGUGUAGCGGUGAAAUGCGUAGAUAUCGUAAGGAAGACCAGUGGCGAAGGCGGGUCUCUGGACAGUUCCUGACGCUGAGGCACGAAAGCUAGGGGACCAAACAGG
rnacentral:rRNA from 1 species